UGGGGAAUAUUGCACAAUGGGCGCAAGCCUGAUGCAGCCAUGCCGCGUGUAUGAAGAAGGCCUUCGGGUUGUAAAGUACUUUCAGCGGGGAGGAAGGGAGUAAAGUUAAUACCUUUGCUCAUUGACGUUACCCGCAGAAGAAGCACCGGCUAACUCCGUGCCAGCAGCCGCGGUAAUACGGAGGGUGCAAGCGUUAAUCGGAAUUACUGGGCGUAAAGCGCACGCAGGCGGUUUGUUAAGUCAGAUGUGAAAUCCUCGGGCUCAACCUGGGAACUGCAUCUGAUACUGGCAAGCUUGAGUCUCGUAGAGGGGGGUAGAAUUCCAGGUGUAGCGGUGAAAUGCGUAGAGAUCUGGAGGAAUACCGGUGGCGAAGGCGGCCCCCUGGACGAAGACUGACGCUCAGGUGCGAAAGCGUGGGGAGCAAACAGG
rnacentral:rRNA from 2 species